rnacentral:rRNA from 1 species
AGCAGCCACGGUAAUUCCAGCUCCAAUGGCAUAUAUUAAAGUUGUUGCAGUUAAAAAGCUCGUAGAUGAAUUUUGGGGUUAGUAAGUUAGUCAUGCCUUCGGUAUGUACUGGCUUUACUGAUUCCUCCUUCUUGACAAACCGUGAUGUCAUUAAUUUGGUGUUGUGGGAAAUCAGAACUGUUACCUUGAAAAAAUUAGAGUGUUUAAAGCAGGCUAACGCUUGAAUACAUUAGCAUGGAAUAAUGAAAUAGGACGUUAAUCCUAUUUUGUUGGUUUCUAGGAUCAACGUAAUAAUUAAUAGGGAUAGUUGGGGGCAUUAGUAUUCAAUUGUCAGAGGUGAAAUUCUUGGAUUUAUUGAAGACUAACUGCGAAAGCAUUUGCCAAGGAUGUUUUUAUUAAU